UUGAAUUUGACCAUCUUGUGCAUUUAUGAAGAAGACCAAAAGCUGCAAAGGCAAACACUUGCAAUGGCAGAAACUGAGAGUUUGCAUGAUGGCAUUUUCUCAGACGCUGAAUCUGAUGUGUACAGAUGAACUCAGGAGCCUACUAGAGUUGCCAAGGAACUUGUGCUUGAACUGAAGACCAGAAACGCAAAGAAAAUCAGUCAAGCCAGUCCUAAAGAAAUGAGGAAUGAACAUGGACUUCUUGUGCCCCAAAAGAAAAGACAGAAAGCUCCUAGAAUGAGCAAAUCAGCUGUGCAUCAUCUCUGUGAUUUGGGAAGGAAAUGACUGAAUAUGAUGGAGCCAGUUGAUGAAGAUAUCAAUUGAAUGGCCACCGAGUGCAUCACUGCUACCUGAACCCAUCAGUUAUCUGCUGUGAAGACUGCAUUCACAAACCGCUCUACUGCGACAGCUCAGAUGUUACGGCCUGUAAAAGUAAACAUCACAGCAAAACAACGAGAGCUAGUUGUGGUGGGAUUCUUUUGGCCAAUAUCCCCAACAAGAAUCGAUGACAUCUAGACCAGGUGGAGUGUGAGGAGGACGGUCAGAGACUCCAGCCAGCCGAGCCAUGGAUUGCUCUCACUGUUACCAUCAGGCAGACGUUAUCACAGAACCUACACCAGCAGACAGUGAGACAAGUUCCUUUCACAGGCAAUCAGACUGAACUGAACUCAUACCAGUAAAACCAUACACACCCCACCAACCUCAUAUGCCCUGCACUCUUAUCAGUUAUGCUGACUGGACUCAAUAUUAUUAUGCACCCUGACAUUCUGUUUGCACUAAUUCAUACCGUGCUUUACUGCAGAGAUGUAUGUGUACUGUGAUUAUUAUUGUUUUCAAUUCAUGCUCUCUGUAUAGCAUAAUUUUUAACAUAUUGUUCUCUACCUGAAUUGAGUCCCUUAUAUAUGUAUGUUGCAUAUAUAUAUUCAGAAUUUGUAUUUCAUAUAUAUUCAUGAAUUAAUUAAUUUGUCAUCCAUACUGUCACGCUGCAGUCUGCACUCAAGACUUUCACCACCUGUAUACUUGUGUUCAUUGUAUUUUGACAAUAAAGACAUUUGAUUUAAAUUA